AGAAAAAUAGUUUAAUUUAAACAUUAACCCUGGAAGUUAAAGUUCAGAAUGUCUGUUUUUCUA
rnacentral:tRNA from 1 species